AAUUUGAAAUCUGGCGUUCACCGUCCGAGUUGUAAUUUGGAGGGGUAUCUUCGGGGACGACACCGUUCUAUGUUCCUUUGAACAGGACAUCACAGAGGGUGAGAAUCCCGUGCUUGGGCGGUUUGUCGCGACCAUGUGAAGUGCCUCCGACGAGUCGAGUUGUUUGGGAAUGCAGCUCAAAAUGGGUGGUAAAUUUCAUCUAAAGCUAAAUAUUGGCGAGAGACCGAUAGCGCACAAGUAGAGUGAUCGAAAGAUGAAAAGAACUUUGAAAAGAGGGUCAAACAGUACGUGAAAUUGUUGAAAGGGAAGCGCUUGAGAUCGAACUCAGCCGGUGGCACACAGCCGAGCUUCUGCUCGGUGCACUGGUCAUCGGCUGGGCCAGCAUCGGUUCCGACGGCGGGAUAAAGGGUCGGGAAACGUGGCUCGCCUCGCGCGAGUGUUAUAGUCCCGCGCCGUAAUACCGCCAGUCCGGGACCGAGGACCGCGCUUCGGCUAGGAUGCUGGCGUAACGGUCUUAAGCGACCCGUCUUG
rnacentral:rRNA from 1 species